GGUAUGUUCCCUCAGUUUGCCUAUUAUUGAAAGUCCUUAUGUAUACAUGUAUAAGGCAUAUAGAACUUUUAUUUUACCUUUGUGGAGAUCGGCGUUUUACUGGCCGUUUUUAUGUCCCAAAGGAGAUAUAUUUAUUGAUCAGGUGUUGGGUUUACAUUACCUACUCACAAAGCUAUUUUUUUAUUUGGUAGAGGGAAUACAUCGGCUUUUGGUAUAUGGAUUAACCAUUUACGGUGUUGGCUAUUAGAAUGGAGUUUAGGGUGACAUUAAAUUAACUAGUAUUAACUUGGUGAUAGUUUUCAUGUAUUGGGGUGUUCAGAAACGAUAUUGCUUUGUCUAGUCCUGUAUGUAUCUGCAUACUAUAGUAUAGAGGGGUGCACUCGAUUACUGGUGUAGAUUCUACAACAGAUUCUCAAUUAGUGAAAUAUGUUUUUGAGGAUGUUGAAAAGAAAUUAGGCCCACAAAUCUGGAAGGAAGAGCCGAUGAGUUAUUACAGGAUGCGUAUAAUAAGUUAUUUUGUGUAUAUAAUCGUUUUUACACAACGUACCAUUGGUGCGUGUAUAUUGGGAUAUCUAUGUUUUAAGUGUAUCAGAAUUGUUGAAUCUGCGUUAUUAUGCAAUUAAUUGCAAGUCAAUACACAUUUCAAUUUGUAUCGGAAGAACGGAUAUUUACAGAGAUGGAAACUGGUUUAUUAUUGUGAAAAACGCACAAAUUUGCGUCCAGUCCUAAUUUGGAAUUAUAUAUGCAUAGAGUAGCAUUUAAUCUGAUUAAAAUUUGUAUUCAUUCAGGAAUUGUCACAAGUGAAAGAACUUUUUGUUUUUCGUUCAACAAAUUAGCCUUUAAACUAUACAAGGAUGAGGGAAUUUACUUUGAUGCAAUUUUCUCCAUUUGUUACCGAUAUAAAAGCAUACGGAUUAUAUAGUUUACAAUCUUGUGGUGCUAUUACCGCUGCAAGGUUUGGUUUUUCAGAUAGACUUUUUAAACGUCAUGGACGUUGGAAGUCGGAAACUUCAAAGGAUGGCUAUGUGAAAGAAGAUUUAUCAAAACGUAGGAUUGUUUCUCAGAAUUUGGGAAAUGAAUAUCUUUUUUGUUUUAUUUAUAUUUGGACUAUAUAAUUUUGCAUACAUAGUACUAAAUAGCUUCCCGUUCUUUGGGUUCAGCAUCGGCGUUGUCGUGCGACUAUCCACUUUACAAAGUCUUUGGUAUUUAUUAUAGCCUUUUAUGGCGUUUAUAUGCAGAGUGUGUAAAUAUAUAUACUUGGAUAUUUGGUACAAGUAUUGGUUAUACUUGGAUAUUUGGUACAAGUAUUGAUUAUACUUGGAUAUUUUGUACAAGUAUUGAUUAUACUUGUUUAUUUGGUGCAAGUAUUGGUUUUAUGUCUACAUUGAUGGGUGGUUUAUACCAGGAGAAUUAUAAUUUCAUUCGUUUAUACGGGCAGUGCAUUAGAGUGAAAUUAAUUUCUCCUGGGUGUUUCAUCAUAUGUAGCAUAGAGGGCGUAAUGUUUUCCCGCUUCAAAAUUAUUUUCGCGGUAUUUUAUUGCCUAUGUUAUCAUUCAGCACGACAUCGUCAAUCUGAGCAGUCGAAUUUUCUUGGUAAAUUUUAAUUCUGGUUAAAGUUUAUUAAGCUUUUUAUUUGGAGAGUUUUUUGUGUCGAUACUGAUGUUUGAGUUAUAUAUUAUAUGUGUAGAUAUAUAUGUAUGUAUUGAGAUUAUUUAUCAUUAAAUAUAGAGCAUCGGCGUUGUCGUGCGACUAUC